rnacentral:rRNA from 1 species
UCCGUAGGUGGUUCAAUCAGUCAGAGGUGAAAUCCUGCAGCUUAACUGUAGAACUGCCUUUGAUACUGUUGAUCUUGAGUCAUUAUGAAGUGGUUAGAAUGUGUAGUGUAGCGGUGAAAUGCAUAGAUAUUACACAGAAUACCGAUUGCGAAGGCAGAUCACUAAUAAUGUACUGACACUGAGGGACGAAAGCGUGGGGAGCGAACAGGAUUAGAUACCUGGUAGUCC